AUACGGAGGGUGCGAGCGUUAAUCGGAAUUACUGGGCGUAAAGCGUGCGUAGGCGGCAUGGUCAGUCGGAUGUGAAAGCCCAGGGCUUAACCUUGGAAUUGCAUUCGAUACUGCCAAGCUAGAGUAUGUUAGAGGAAAGUGGAAUUCCCGGUGUAGCGGUGAAAUGCGUAGAUAUCAGGAGGAACAUCAGUGGCGAAGGCGACUUUCUGGAUCAAUACUGACGCUCAGGUACGAAAGCGUGGGGAGCAAACAGGAUUAGAAACCCUAGUAGUCC
rnacentral:rRNA from 1 species